GGGGAGGCUGUGAUGGUGGCAGUGAUUCCUCCCCCGUGGAGACAGCGGACUCCUCUCCCUGCUUGUGCCCUUGGCUCCUGACUCCUCUCUGCUCCUGCUCUGCUUCUGAGCCUGGUUCUCCUGAUCUCCCCUCAAUUCUGUGUGUUGGCUCAGGAUGUUAAGAAAAAGAUGCACACAAGGUCACAAUUCUGGUGAGUGGAAUGAGCAACCCAGGGGAGCAGCACCCACAGAAAAUGUUCAUUUUGACAGUGAGAACCAUCCUUUGAAUUAACCUUAUCUGGAGGACCGCAAUCUGCCACUUUCUGCGGAAGAAAAAUUUGCUGCAGGAAAACUGGACCCAGC
rnacentral:lncRNA from 13 species